rnacentral:rRNA from 1 species
GCUGGCGGCAUGCUUAACACAUGCAAGUCGCACGGGGCAGUAGCAAUACUGUCAGUGGCGGACGGGUGAGUAACGCGUAGGAAUCUAUCCUUGGAAUGGGGGACAACCGUGGGAAACUACGGCUAAUACCGCAUGAUGCCUGAGGGCCAAAGACGAAAGUCGUUUGAGGAGGAGCCUGCGUCUGAUUAGGUAGUUGGUGGGGUAAAGGCCUACCAAGCCCUACGAUCAGUAGCUGGUCUGAGAGGGAUGAUCAGCCACAUUGGGACUGAGACACGGCCCAAACUCCUACGGGAGGCAGCAGUGGGGAAUAUUGGACAAUGGGCGCAAGCCUGAUCCAGCAAUGCCGCGUGGGUGAAGAAGGUCUUCGGAUUGUAAAGCCCUUUUGGCGGGGACGAUGAUGACGGUACCCGCAGAAUAAGCUCCGGCUAACUUCGUG